UGGGUGACGAAGUGGUUGAUGCCAUGCUUCCAAGAAAAGCUUCUAAGCUUCAGGUAACCAGGAACCGUACCCCAAACCGACACAGGUGGUUGGGUAGAGAAUACCAAGGCGCUUGAGAGAACUCGGGUGAAGGAACUAGGCAAAAUGGCACCGUAACUUCGGGAGAAGGUGCGCCGGUGAGGGUGAAGCACUUGCUGCGUAAGCCCACGCCGGUCGAAGAUACCAGGCCGCUGCGACUGUUUAUUAAAAACACAGCACUCUGCAAACACGAAAGUGGACGUAUAGGGUGUGACGCCUGCCCGGUGCCGGAAGGUUAAUUGAUGGGGUUAGCUAACGCGAAGCUCUUGAUCGAAGCCCCGGUAAACGGCGGCCGUAACUAUAACGGUCCUAAGGUAGCGAAAUUCCUUGUCGGGUAAGUUCCGACCUGCACGAAUGGCGUAACGAUGGCGGCGCUGUCUCCACCCGAGACUCAGUGAAAUUGAAAUCGCUGUGAAGAUGCAGUGUAUCCGCGGCUAGACGGAAAGACCCCGUGAACCUUUACUAUAGCUUUGCACUGGACUUUGAAUUUGCUUGUGUAGGAUAGGUGGGAGGCUUUGAAGCGUGGACGCCAGUUCGCGUGGAGCCAUCCUUGAAAUACCACCCUGGCAACUUUGAGGUUCUAACUCAGGUCCGUUAUCCGGAUCGAGGACAGUGUAUGGUGGGUAGUUUGACUGGGGCGGUCUCCUCCUAAAGAGUAACGGAGGAGUACGAAGGUGCGCUCAGACCGGUCGGAAAUCGGUCGUAGAGUAUAAAGGCAAAAGCGCGCUUGACUGCGAGACAGACACGUCGAGCAGGUACGAAAGUAGGUCUUAGUGAUCCGGUGGUUCUGUAUGGAAGGGCCAUCGCUCAACGGAUAAAAGGUACUCCGGGGAUAACAGGCUGAUACCGCCCAAGAGUUCAUAUCGACGGCGGUGUUUGGCACCUCGAUGUCGGCUCAUCACAUCCUGGGGCUGAAGCCGGUCCCAAGGGUAUGGCUGUUCGCCAUUUAAAGUGGUACGCGAGCUGGGUUUAGAACGUCGUGAGACAGUUCGGUCCCUAUCUGCCGUGGACGUUUGAGAUUUGAGAGGGGCUGCUCCUAGUACGAGAGGACCGGAGUGGACGAACCUCUGGUGUUCCGGUUGUCACGCCAGUGGCAUUGCCGGGUAGCUAUGUUCGGAAAAGAUAACCGCUGAAAGCAUCUAAGCGGGAAACUUGCCUCAAGAUGAGAUCUCACUGGGACCUUGAGUCCCCUGAAGGGCCGUCGAAGACUACGACGUUGAUAGGUGGGGUGUGUAAGCGCUGUGAGGCGUUGAGCUAACCCAUACUAAUUGCCCGUGAGGCUUGACCAU
rnacentral:rRNA from 1 species